rnacentral:tRNA from 1 species
GGGGAUUUAGCUUAGCGGCAUAAGUGUCUGCCUUGCAAGCAUAUGGUCAUGAGUUCAAUCCCCA